GACGAACGCUGGCGGCGUGCUUAACACAUGCAAGUCGAACGGAAAGGCCUGCUUUCCCUUGUGGAUUGCGGGUACUCGAGUGGCGAACGGGUGAGUAACACGUGAGUGAUCUGCCCCCAACUUGGGUAUAAGCCUGGGAAACUGGGUCUAAUUCCCGAUAGGACUGCAGGGUGGUGCCUGUGGUGGAAAACGAUUUUCUAGUGGUUGGGGAUGAGCUCGCGGCCUAUCAGCUUGUUGGUGGGGUAAUGGCCUACCAAGGCGGCGACGGGUAGCCGGCCUGGGAGGGUGGACGGCCACAUUGGAACUGAGAUACGGCCCAGACUCCUACGGGAGGCAGCAGUGGGGAAUAUUGCACAAUGGGCGGAAGCCUGAUGCAGCGACGCCGCGUGGGGGAUGACGGCCUUCGGGUUGUAAACUCCUUUCGACCGCGAGGAAGCCACCUGGUUGGAAGGGUGGUGACGGUAGUGGUAGAAGAAGCACCGGCUAACUACGUG
rnacentral:rRNA from 1 species